AGAGUUUGAUCCUGGCUCAGAAUGAACGCUGGCGGCAUGGCUAAGACAUGCAAGUCGAACGGACAUCGUAAUUGGGUAACCGAAAACGGUGUUAGUGGCGCAAGGGUGAGGAACAGACAGGUAACGUACCCCGGGCUUCGGAACAGCGUCUCGAAAGGGACGGUAAUACCGGAUGACGUCCUCCGUAUAAUGCGGAUGACCAAAGAUUCAUCGGCCUGGGAGCGGCCUGUUUCCUAUCAGCUAGUUGGUGAGGUAACGGCCCACCAAGGCGACGACGGGUAGCGGGACUGAGAGGUUGACCCGCCACAUCGGGACUGAGACACUGCCCGGACCUCCACGGAGGGCUGCAGUAACGAAUAUUGGGCAAUGGGCGCAAGCCUGACCCAGCAAUGCCGCGUGCAGGAUGAAGCCCCUCGGGGUGUAAACUGCUUUCAGGGAUUAGAAAGUUUCGAUUGAUCAAUCCCAGAAGAAGUCACGGCUAACUUCGUGCCAGCAGCCGCGGUAAGACGAAGGUGGCAAGCGUUAUUCGAAAUCACUGGGCUUAAAGGGCGCGUAGGCGGGAACGCAAGUGCCGUGUGAAAACCCCCGGCUUAACCGGGGAACGGCUCGGCAAACUGCGUUUCUUGAGGCAAGCAGGGGUGUGUGGAACUCUUGGUGGAGCGGUGGAAUGCGUAGAUAUCAAGAGGAACGCCGAAGGUGAAGACAGCACACUGGACUUGUACUGACGCUGAGGCGCGAAAGCGUGGGGAGCAAACAGGAUUAGAUACCCUGGUAGUCCACGCUGUAAACGAUGCCUACUA
rnacentral:rRNA from 1 species